rnacentral:ncRNA from 1 species
UUUAAAAUGACGAGGCGAAUUAGUAAUCAUCUAAACCUUUUACAGAAACCAAGUGGUAAAUGUGAACUUGGAAGGUUAGGUGGUGAACUCAUCGCUGAAUGGUUAAUUGAACAAAAGUAAACUAACCCGGUAGCCACGUUAAGGCGUUUGAGUGCUCUUCGAAUUGAAGAGAAUAUAGGUGGUACCGCGAUAACUCGCCCUAUGA